CGGUAACAGGAAGCAGCUUGCUGCUUCGCUGACGAGUGGCGGACGGGUGAGUAAUGUCUGGGAAACUGCCUGAUGGAGGGGGAUAACUACUGGAAACGGUAGCUAAUACCGCAUAACGUCGCAAGACCAAAGAGGGGGACCUUCGGGCCUCUUGCCAUCGGAUGUGCCCAGAUGGGAUUAGCUAGUAGGUGGGGUAACGGCUCACCUAGGCGACGAUCCCUAGCUGGUCUGAGAGGAUGACCAGCCACACUGGAACUGAGACACGGUCCAGACUCCUACGGGAGGCAGCAGUGGGGAAUAUUGCACAAUGGGCGCAAGCCUGAUGCAGCCAUGCCGCGUGUGUGAAGAAGGCCUUCGGGUUGUAAAGCACUUUCAGCGGGGGGGAAGGCGGGUAAGGUUAAUAACCUUACCGAUUGACGUUACCCGCACAAGAAGCACCGGCUAACUCCGUGCCAGCAGCCGCGGUAAUACGGAGGGUGCAAGCGUUAAUCGGAAUUACUGGGCGUAAAGCGCACGCAGGCGGUCUGUCAAGUCGGAUGUGAAAUCCCCGGGCUCAACCUGGGAACUGCAUUCGAAACUGGCAGGCUACAGUCUUGUAGAGGGGGGGUAGAAUUCCCCGUGUAGCGCGUGAAAUGCCUAAAGCUCUGGAAGAGUAUCGGAGGCGAACGCCCGCCCCCU
rnacentral:rRNA from 1 species